rnacentral:misc_RNA from 1 species
UGCUGGCCAUACUGAAAGUGAGUUGAAGAAUGUCACAAAUCUUUACUUCAGUGGCCAGCUCAUUUGGGAAUCUGUUAUGGAUGAACUUUUAUCAAUAGGGUUGUCCAAUGCCAAUCAGGCUCUUCUUUCAGGAUGCUCUGCCGGAGGAUUGGCAACUCUUAUUCAUUGUGAUAACUUUCGAGAUCUUAUGCCAAAGGAUGCUACUGUAAAAUGCCUUGCUGAUGCAGGAUUUUUCCUUGAUGAGAAAGAUAUUCUUGGAAACUACACCAUGAGAUCUUUCUACCAUGAUGUUGUCCACCUUCAGGGUGUUUCUAAAAGUUUGCCCAAGGACUGUACUUCAAGAAUGGACUCAUCCAAGUGUCUUUUUCCAGAAAUUAUUAAAGGCAUAAGAACGCCACUAUUCCUAGUCAACCCAGCUUAUGAUUAUUGGCAGAUACAACACAUCUUGGUACCAGAUGGAUCAGAUGUUCACGGCCAUUGGCAAAAGUGCAGAAUGAACCUUCUGUAUUGUAAUCCUAGUCAGAUUGAGAAAUUACAAGAUUUCCGUAGUUCUCUGCUGAAUGCACUGAGUGAUUUCCAGCAAAACAAGGAAGGGGGGAUGUUCAUAAAUUCUUGCUUUAUUCAUUGCCAAACAUGGAUGGCUAACACAUGGCAUUCACCUACUUCUCCGAAAAUCAACAAUAAGACCAUUGCAGAGGCCGUAGGUGACUGGUACUUCAACCGUAGAGUGGUGAACGAAGUUGACUGCCCUUAUCCGUGCAACCCCACUUGCUAUAACAUGGAAUUUGCUUGAUUUCGGCAAUAGCUCUGCACUUCCAAAGCAUCUUUGGGUUACACUUUGUUCUAAAGUCUGACCGUCACUCUUUGAAAUUGUAACUUUCUAUGUCCAAGGCUUGAUCCCAGAUGCUGGUAAGGAAGUUAAGGUUUGCAGAAACACUGCACAUGGUUAAUUGAAUGGUAUUAGUUGGGGAGAAGACAUUUCUUAC